rnacentral:misc_RNA from 1 species
CAUGCUUAACAAUUCUACGAGUAAGAUCUGAUUAAAUGUUGCUAAACUUACUACCUAUUCUGUUCGAAUCUCACUUAUCUAUGUUUGGCUCUUUUAGAGAGGCAUUUAUAUCCAGGCAACAGUAUGGUAAUAAAAACAGCCAACAUCCCUCCACUGGUGAAGUAUAAGUAAUCAUGGGAAUGCCCAGUGGUUGAUUGGUUAAAAGUCUGCUCGGUACCCCUAGUUUUUGAGUGAGUCGUAUCAAACUCCAUACUUGAAGUAUCUUCUUGUAGACGUCUGGUGCAUGCUUUCAUUUAUUGCUGAGUGUAUAUAUGCAAUCAGCUUUUCUUAUUAGAUAAAAAUCAACCUUAGCGAUCGGCAGAAUAGACUAAGUCAAGCUCGCAAAUGGCACAUAUGUGUUGGAUAUCAAGCAAAUG